GACGAACGCUGGCGGCGUGCUUAACACAUGCAAGUCGAACGGAAAGGCCUCAGCUUGCUGGGGUACUCGAGUGGCGAACGGGUGAGUAACACGUGGGUGAUCUGCCCUGCACUUUGGGAUAAGCUUGGGAAACUGGGUCUAAUACCGAAUAUGACCACCUCUUGGAUGUUGUGGUGGAAAGCUUUUGCGGUGUGGGAUGAGCCUGCGGCCUAUCAGCUUGUUGGUGGGGUAAUGGCCUACCAAGGCGGCGACGGGUAUCCGGCCUGAGAGGGUGUACGGACACAUUGGGACUGAGAUACGGCCCAGACUCCUACGGGAGGCAGCAGUGGGGAAUAUUGCACAAUGGGCGCAAGCCUGAUGCAGCGACGCCGCGUGGGGGAUGAAGGCCUUCGGGUUGUAAACUCCUUUCGCUAUCGACGAAGCCACUUGUGGUGACGGUAGGUAGAUAAGAAGCACCGGCUAACUACGUGCCAGCCGCCGCGGUAA
rnacentral:rRNA from 1 species